CUGGUCAUCUUGAUGUAUGGAAGCUACUAGAUGAUGCUCAUGAUUUGGUGGUCACUCUCCAUGACAAGAUAUAGACACCUUUUGCCUUCCAAAAUUUUAUACCACUUAUUUGUUCUCUUUGCUAAAUUCAGCAUCAGUGAGUCGGUAAGUUUUUGUGGUGAGGAAGAACUUUCUACCUGACAAGUGAAAACAUUGCUGCUGCUGCUCUUUUUGGGUCAGAGAUCGGGGUUAUCUAUAACUCUCAACUCUACCGAGUACAGGCACUGCUAUUUGCUCGAUUUCAGUGUAGCCAUUAUUAGAAAGCCUGUGUUCCAGACUGUUCUACCAUAUGCUCAAUAUAUAUCGUUUAAGUUCUCAUUUUUAAUGCUUAUUAGAGUUAUAGUUAUAGGGUCUAUUUAAUAGUAGGAAAACUUAUUCAGACUGGAUAUGUUGUACCUAUUGACCAACUUGCUUGGGUUCAAGGAGUGGGGUGUUGGGUUGGGAGUCGUGUGGGCAAGCACGAACUGGAUCAGUUAUAUAUUAAAGUAUCCGAUGUUGGUCACGAGAGCCUUAGAAUUGUGUAUUUACACUGUUUGUGAUACUUUUAGCAG
rnacentral:misc_RNA from 1 species